CGUUUGUAUUAUAAAAAAGAUAUCCGUCAUCGCUGCAGUUAGUUCUGUGUGCGCAAACAACCUUCUCGGAGACAUUAAUAAUUACGUAAAUGGAAUUAUUGCGCGCCGCGCAAGCCACUAUCUUGAUAGCCUGGAAAAAUGAUCUGGAAUGAAACUGCUCCACAUGGGGUAAACGUCUCUGUUCGUGCUGUCUCUUCCAUUUGUUAAACCACUUUCAGGAAAUACGAUAAUAUCCGUGUACUGCAAUAUCAAUCAUCACUUCGCUUACACUAUUGUUGGCAUUUUCGUUGAAUAUUUCUUCAGGACUAUCGCCAAUUUUGAUCGGAUGAUAUUCAACGACUGCUGCCCUAUACGCGAUACCGUUUUCUUCUCCUGCAAAUGCUGAAAACUGGGCAUAGCUUAAAAAGCUCAACACUGAAUGCUUCGCUCGGAAUUAGUAUUGGAAAGGUAGAAAAAAGCUGUAAUCGUAAACGUACAUGGUGCACAUCAAGCAUUAGUUUGUGAAGCGAGAUUACAAAAAAAUCAUACCUCUACACAACAGAGCUCAGCAAUCAGAAUCUGGAGGACGAAAGAGACACGUUUGACCAACAUCACGAAAGAAGUAACAUUUGGAUAAAAAAUCUGAAAGAGAAAAAAGCGACGGAAUUGAAAAACGUGACGUAAAUUAUAAUAAGGUACGCGUCUUCAGUUUAACUGUCAUAAGACAUAAUUCGAAAGAGCUCGUUAGUUCCAAUAUUACAACGACGCCACUACCGCACUAGAAUUGUUAUCUGCUGUAAUUUAUUAUCGUUAUUACCAAUUGCAGGAUUUAUUGUGUUGGGGGUAAAUGUAUAAUUUGUAAAUUUUAUCACAACAUUUUUCAAUCAGUUUUGCUAAUGAUUUCUUCUAUGAAUUUUAUGUGAAAUUCUGCUUGUCAGCGAUCAGUUUGAAGUCUAUUAUCAGUACAAGUAGUUGCAGACUCAAGUGUUGGGGAUUUUGGUGACGUGAAUAACUUGGAAUCGUGAUCGAUCUUUAUUGGGAUGAUGUGAGGAUUAUACGCUUGACCGCUUUAUCGCCUGUUCGAAUGAAUUAUAAUGGUCUUAUAUAGCGGAAUGCGUGACUUUGAUCACUCUAUUUAUAUGUAUAUCCAGGUACACCUUUUUAAACACGAACAAACCUGCUUACAAACAUAAAUUAUGCAUUGGCACCUGCAGCCAACGCUGUUUUUGGACCGUACAGUCGUUAAUUUUACAUUUCGCAUAAAAUAAUCCUUGUUUUGAACAUGUACUUUUAUAAUUUUUUGUUCUAAUAAAUUAUGCGUCUAUGGAUUUCGAACCAGU